UCACAUAAUGCUGAAGGCUGGCAUUGAGAAUUUUGAGCAUUACUUUGCUAGUGUGUGAGAUGAAAGCAAUUGUGUGAUAGCUUGAACGUCCUUUGGCACUGCCUUUCUUUGGGAUUGGAAUGAAAACUGACCUUUUCCAGUCCUGUGGCCACUGCUGAGUUU